rnacentral:rRNA from 1 species
AUGUACUGGUCUCACUGAUUCCUCCUUCCUGAUGAGCCGUAAUGCCAUUAAUUUGGUGUUGCGGGGAAUUUGGACUGUUACUUUGAAAAAAUUAGAGUGUUUAAAGCAAGCUAACGCUUGAAUACAUUAGCAUGGAAUAAUGAAAUAGGACGUUCGAUCCUAUCUUGUUGGUUUCUAGGAUUGACGUAAUGAUUAAUAGGGAUAGUUGGGGGCAUUAGUAUUCAAUUGUCAGAGGUGAAAUUCUUGGAUUUAUUGAAGACUAACUACUGCGAAAGCAUUUGCCAAGGAUGUUUUCAUUAAUCAAGAACGAAAGUUAGGGGAUCGAAGACGAUCAGAUACCGUCGUAGUCUUAACCAUAAACUAUGCCGACUAGGGAUCGGAUGAUGUUAAUUUUUUAAUGACUCAUUCGGCGCCUUACG